rnacentral:lncRNA from 1 species
CGCCACUAACUCCACCUGGUCUCCCCCACCUCGGGAUCUUGCCCGAUCCAAAAAUCCUCAUCGGGAUCCCCUGCCCGAUCCACCCAACCAGCUCGUAGCCGCCUCCCCUUCCCUGCUCCCGUGCGUGUCCAGCACCACAGGAGAGGUGCUCCUCGAGCCCUCGAUCCAGCGCGCAGAUGCUCGAGCGCUCCUCCUCGUGACCCGCCGCCCCGGCGAACCGUCACCGUCGGCGACCACUUCCAUCAGGCCGGACCCCGCUCCCCUCGUUGCUUCUCCUUCUCCCGUUCCCUCCGUUUUCCCUCUCUCACUUACUCUCUGUCAUCUCCAGGAAACUGCAGGAGGCAAGCACCAUGCCAUGGCAUCCCCUGCUCGACGACUGCGUCGCCGUCGUCGACUUCGCGCCCAUCCCCGCCUGAUUCUGCAGCGCCGCCGCCCGUCUUCUUCGUUCAAGGCAAGCUCUGCUGCUGUCCUGCUCGAGCUGCCAAGUCCCUGUCGCCUCGCCGCUGUACCCCGUCCUCGACCUCAUUCAGCAGCCCCCGCCGCAAGCCGCGACCUCCACAGCCUCCUCCCGAAUCUGCUCCGCCUCGCCUCUGCCGGAUCGGAGCAGCACCGGACCAGCAGGACCGUGCCCUUCCUCUCCAGCCUCCCCUCUGUUUUCUUCUAGAUCACCGGCAACGCUCUCUCUCAGGAUCUCUCUUCUCUCUCGCUUCUCUCCACAGGGAACCGAAGCCAUGGCCACCGGCCGUCCAUGGUCGCCGCCGCAAGGAUCUGCUCGCCUCCGCUGCCUCCGCGCCAUCCCUGUCGCCGGAGGAUGCAGCCCCGCCGCUUCCAAGUCCUCUGCUUCGCCCGUGGUCGAGCGAGACGACCAUAAACGCAGCCGCGUUGACCGCCCGCUCGCCAGCGCCUUUCUGCCUCGCUGGCAAGGCCCAGCCUGCUCCAGCUCCUCAUCCGGCAUGCCAGGCCUCUCCACCAGCUGGGCCGAGGCCCAUGGUGAGAACCUCCCCCAGCGCCCAUGUCCUGUUUCAGCCUGUGCUCUAAUUCAGCCCGCAUGUGUUUUUUUUACUGCUGCGAAUUUAACAUUAUCCAUUGUAUUACUGAUUUACAGAAAACCCCUCCAUGUUCAUGCAUAUAAUAACUCAUUAUCCGUGCGUCAUAUGUAAAUAAUUUAUAUAUGUGAUAUGCUCAGAAAAUUGUGUAGAUUAACAAUAUGCCACUUUCAUCCCAUGUUAAUAUGUUUAACAUGUUGUUUACAUUAAUUUGCUCCUAUGCCAUGCUAAAAUGAUUUAUUUCAUAACUAUUUAACCGUAACUCCGAAUUUAAUGUUCUUUAUAUGUAAAUGGGGUGGAAAAAUGCCUAGUUUAACAUGGUGCACUUUGUUUUAUUGUUUAACAACUUUAAAAUAUGUUUUAGGGCAGAACAGUAGCAAAUUCAUAAAUUGCAUAUGAGGUUUUUCCGAAAAUAUUGUUUGUUGUUCCGGCCUCAUUUAAACUUGCCUAAAUAUUUAGUUUACUUUUGUUACACCCCUUGACAUGUUUAACAACAUUUAACAUUGUUGUGUACCUAAACGAGAGCGAACUAAAUAACUCGGAUGUGGUGUUUCGUCAAUAUGCAACUCGUUGCAUAUUGAGCUCCACUUAACUUGUAGUAUUGUGUGUUGCACUUUGCCAUGCCAUGCCCCAUUAAACCGGACAUGCAUCAUAAUUGAUUGUGCAUCAUGCCAUAUUUAUGCUUGUGUGUUUAACAUGUUGUUUGUUUCUUUCCGGUGUUGCUUCUUAGUCCCGGUAAUGUUGCGAUUGUGAGGAUUCAUUCGACUACGUCCAUUUGUCUUCUUCAUGGACUCGUUCUUCUUCCUAGCGGGAUUUCAGGCAAGAUGACCGCUACCCUGGAUCUCACUACUAUCAUUGAUAUGCUAGUUGCUUCGUUCUAUCGCUAUGUUGCGCUACCUAUCAUUUUGUUCUAUCAAGCCUCCCAAAUUGCCAUGAACCUCUAACCUUUGACACCAUUCCUAGCAAACCGUUGCUUGGCUAUGUUACCGCUUUGCUCAGCCCUCUUAUAGCGUUGCUAGUUGCAGGUGAAGUUGAAGAUUGCUCCAUGGUGGAUAGGGUUAUGUUGGGAUAUUACAAUAUCUCUUAUAUUAUUAAUGCAUCUAUAUAUUUGGUAAAGGGUGGAAGGCUCGGCCUUAUGCCUGGUGUUUUGUUCCACUCUUGCCGCCCUAGUUUCUGUCAUACCGGUGUUAUGUUCCCGGAUUUUGCGUUCCUAACGCGGUCGGGUGAUUUAUGGGACCCCCUUGACAGUUCGCUUUGAUAAAACUUGUCCAGCAAGGCCCAACCUUGGUUUUACCAUUUGCCUCACCACCACCUAUACCCUUCCCUUGGGUCGGCCAACCCGAGGGUCAUCUUUAUUUUAGCCCCCCCGGGCCAGUGCUUGUCUAAGUGCUGGUCCGAACUGAGUAGACCGCGGGGCCCCCUCGGGGCAACUCGAGGUCUGGUUUUACUCGUAGGAUGUCUCAUCUGGUGUUACCCUGAGAACGAGAUAUGUGCAGCUCCUAUCGGGAUUGUCGGCGCAUCGGGCGGCUUUGCUGGUCUUGUUUUACCAUUGUCGAAAUGUCUUGUAAACCGGGAUUCCAAGACUGAUCGGGUCUUCCUGGGAGAAGGUCUAUUCCUUCGUUGAUCACGAGAGCUUGUCAUGGGCUAAGUUGGGACACCCCUGCAGGGUAUAAACUUUCGAGAGCCGUGCCCGCGGUUAUGUUGCAGAUGGGAAUUUGUUAAUGUCCGGUUGUAGAUAACUUGACACCAGAUCCGAAUUAAAAUGCAUCAACCGCGUGUGUAGCCGUGAUGGUCUCUUCUCGGUGGAGUCCGGGAAGUGAACACGGUUUCUGGGUUAUGUUUGACGUAAGUAGGUGUUCAGGAUCACCUCUUGAUCAUUGCUAGCUUCACGACUGUUCCUUUGUUUCUCUUCUCGCUCUCAUUUGCGUAUGUUAGCCACCAUAUAUGCUUAGCCGCUGCUGCAACCUCACCACUUUACCCCUUCCUUACCCAUUAAGCUUUGCUAGUCUUGAUACCCAUGGUAAUGGGAUUGCUGAGUCCUCGUGGCUCAUAGUUACUUCCAAAACCAGUUUGCAGGUACCAAUGUUACCAAGCAGGUGACGCCACCAAGCUCAAGGAGGAGCUCGAUGAAGAUCUUGCCCUUUGUGUUGUUUCGUUCUAGUUGAUCAGUAGUGGAGCCCAGUUGGGGUCGAUCGGGGACCUUUGUCACAUUUGGGGUUCUUCUUUUAUUUUGGUUCCGUAGUCGGACCUUGAUUGUAUCUGUAUGAUGUAAUGCUUUACUCAUGUAUUGUGUGAAGUGGCGAUUGUAAGCCAACUAUGUAUCUCUUUCCCUUAUGUAUUACAUGGGUUGUGUGAAGAUUACCUCACUUGCGACAUUGCUUUCAAUGCGGUUAUGCCUCUAAGUCGUGCUUCGACACGUGGGAGAUAUAGCCGCAUCGAGGGCGUUACAAGUUGGUAAUCAGAGCCUUCCCCGACCUUAGGAGCCCCACUGCUUGAUCGUUUUUAGCGGCCAAGUUGUGUCUAGAAAAAUGUUUUGAGUCAUUUAGGAUUAUAUAUAUCGGAGAGUUAGGAAUUCUUUUUACUCCCCAGUCUCUUCAUCGCUCUGGUAAGGCAUCCUGACGUAGAGUUUUGACUCUUCUCUUCUCAAAUUUCACUAAAUUUUUUUUAGGAUCACGCGGGUAUCUUGGAAUCAUUCCGAUGGUUUUAUGAUGAGAACAUUGUCUUGGUGCCUUCUGUCAGGGGUUUAGUGGAAGUGUCCUGGGGAGUUGAGCUCUGAGGUGUUG